UCUUUAUUAUUUUAUUAAUAAUAUUUUAAAUUAUUAAAAUAAUUUUAUUGGGGUGAUAAAAAAAUUUAAUAAACUUUUUAUUUUAAUACAUUUAUUUAUGAUUAAAUGAACUUAAAUUUUAAAUUAAAAGAAAAGU
rnacentral:rRNA from 1 species